UAGGAAUUCCUAUAGGAUCCUAUAGGAAUUCCUAUAGGAAUUCCUAUAGGAAUUCCUAUAGGAUCCUAUAGGAAUUCCU